UUGAUGUUUUUUUUUCUCGAGUUUUUUCUUGUCUCUCAGUUCAGUAGUUUUCGGUUAGUUAGUUCUCUAUAAUACCAGUAAUUUUUGAUGGGCGUUUAGAGUUAACCUUUGUAGGGUUUCACAUGACAUUUCGCUGGAGACCGGAGCUGCAAAGCGUUGAUGGUCAGUUACAGACAGAUCAAUUGAUCUGAUACUGGAAAUAGAGGAUGAGUCAAUUCAGUUUGACGAUGACCACAUAUGACCCCGAAAAUGUUACUAAACAAUUCUGCGAAGGGAGACUCUAUUUUCGCCUUCGAAAAUUUGAUUGGUGCAGGCCAAUCAAAUUUUCGAAAAUUAAGCAGGGAAUGAUGUAGCACGGUACUGAUUUCGACUUUUGGAAGCCCCUCGUUUCGUUAUUUUGAAUUUCAGAUCCAACACAAUCUCUCCUGUGUGGAUCUGGGAUUCUCUCUUCUUUCUAUGUAUUGGAUGUUUGGCAACGCGAGUGCCGCUCCCGAUUUUAGAUUUGAGCAACUAGCCAAAAUGGGUGCUGGAUGUGACUGGGCGGCUGUUUUAGCCAAGACACCCACCUACCAACACUCCGAAAGACUCAUGCUUUCCUUUUUUUUUGCUAUUUUUUCAUUUGGAUAUUUCCCCCAAAUGGCAGAGUCUUUCGGCGGGGUUUUCUUGUUCUUCAAAUUUCAAAACCCGGCGAGCGCUUCGACUUGAACUCUGCUCGGGAGGUUAAAGGGUAUCGCCCGCGAAUGCUUGAAUGCGCGACCAAUGAAAGCGCAGGGGAAUUUCGGUAUGAAUACAAAAUAGUUAACAUCGUUAACUAUUACGUAAUUCCGGUUCCAAUGAAUGUCUCGCUGAUCUGAGGAUCUUGAGAUAUGCUUGCCAUUCCGACUUCGAAAGUGAAAAAGGCAGGAGCGGAUUAGUUUGUUCUGGUGUCGCGAGUUGAAAUCCGAAGAAUAGUGAUUAAAUUUAGUCCAGUAGUUGUUUUCCGUGAAUUUAACUCUCCGCUUGUGUCCCCAUUGAGCGGAACUGAAGGAAAAAGCCGCUUCUGACCCACGAUCGGAGAUUGGAUUUCCGCCACCUUGUCCGUCAAUUCUAGUGGCCGCGCGGAGCGCAAACCAUCACUCGCGCAUCCAGGGAAGGCGCAUCACGACACAUCUACGAGUCGAACGCGCACUCAACGCCUACGGACUUACCAUUCAUCGCCUGGCGUGGAACGGCGAUAAGGUAGAUUCUCCACGUAAAACCUAGGUAGUGUGAGUAGAAAACUAUUUUUACCCUAAAAUAACAUGCGCAUGUAGGGUUAAAAGAACCAAAGAAUAAAACCACACACAACUAACAACGCCACACAACAAUGCCACAUGCAAUCGAAGCGUAGAGAUUUACCGACGGCGCGCUUAUGCUGAUCGCUAUUAAUAAAGGGUUACACAAGAUGCGAAAUUAGGCUUUGUAGAAUAAUCGCUGGACUUGAAUCAAUGGGUCCGAUGUUCGAAUCCCGUAAUAGUUAAAUAAAAUUGUUCAUGUAGUUAUUAUUUUUCGUUAAUUGGAAGUUUCGAAGUAAAUGUUGUAAAUAUAAUUAAAACUUGUGGGAUAAUAUGUUGAGUUAGCUGAAUGAAUGUUGUGUGAUAACCAAUAAUUAGAUGUAGACGGAAGUUUUGUGCAUUUACUGGCUAGCGGUGUAGCCUAAAAACCCGAAUAAAUUUCAGAUAGGUCACGAGCCCAGGGUUGGGGCUCCUCU